GAUGAACGCUGGCGGCGUGCUUAACACAUGCAAGUCGAACGGUGAAGCAGGAGCUUGCUCUUGUGGAUCAGUGGCGAACGGGUGAGUAACACGUGAGCAACCUGCCCCUGACUCUGGGAUAAGCGCUGGGAACGGCGUCUAAUACUGGAUAUGUGAUGUGACCGCAUGGUCUGCAUCUGGAAAGAACUUCGGUUGGGGAGGGGCUCGCGGCCUAUCAGCUUGUUGGUGGGGUAAUGGCUCACCAAGGCGUCGACGGGUAGCCGGCCUGAGAGGACGCCCGGCCACACUGGGACUGAGACACGGCCCAGACUCCUACGGGAGGCAGCAGUGGGGAAUAUUGCACAGUGGGCGGAAGCCUGAUGCAGCAACGCCGCGUGAGGGAUGACGGCCUUCGGGUUGUAAACCUCUUUUAGCAGGGAAGAAGCGAAAGUGACGGUACCUGCAGAAAAAGCACCGGCUAACUACGUGCCAGCCGCCGCCGUAA
rnacentral:rRNA from 1 species